rnacentral:lncRNA from 1 species
AAAAACGUAUUUAAUUAACCGUCUAGAACAUUUUCUCUUUGAACCAUCGUGCUCGCAUCACGUAUAUAUACGGUGAAAAUAUAGACACUUUCACUACGUGGAAAAUGAUUAUAAGUUUAUUGGCACUACUCCUUUAUUAUCCUUGUCGACCGUACGUCCCUACUUGGGUUUCACCGGAUCAAUAAUUAAUGGCUUAAUUAAAAUUAAUAUUUUUCGUUUAUUUUAAAAUGUUUAGAUUUUGACAGAAACGAGAGGUGUGUUGGUUUUACUUUAAAAAUCUUGACCCAAUCAAAACUCGUAUAGGAUGUUGUAUCAUUUCGAUUUGUUCGUGUACAUUGUGUUGGUCAUAUUUUGAUUUUCUUUGUAGUAGUUUUCUUAAUAAACGGAAAGAAUUAGCGAUUUUUAUUUUUAUAUAAUUUUUGUUUAUUUCUGAUUUACCUUACCGAUAAGAGAACAAAUACGAUUAUAAAUAUACUUCACCCAGAAUCGUUUUUCGUUGCGUACACGUAUAAAUUAAAUCACUCGAUAUAUCCUGUCUUUCAACUUCCCUCCUAAAACAGUGGGACGCCCAUUACAAAUAAUCAGCCAUUUUUUUUUUUCAACAAUACCGAAUAUAAUAUACUCGUCGUUAUUACAGAUCAAAGAAAUACAUUUUAAAACAUUACUGUUCAUUUUCGACUUUAUAACUACUAAGUAUACUUGCAGUGUUUUGAAACGAACGUGUUUACAUCUAUUUUUCGGUCUUGCACAGACGGCCCGUCGCGGACGUUGUUAUUAGUAUUCCUAACAGGCGGUCGCAAAAAUAAUAACAUUAAAACGAAAUAAUGCCUACCUACGGGAUGUUGUUUGCGGCGCGGGCAUUGUUCGCCACACACUUUGGGCCGGAAAUUUUAACGCCCCGCAAAGUAUUCACCGCACGAAAAAACAAUAGGAAUUAAAAUACGCAUGAUCCGAAUGUAAGUACAAAAAAAAAAAAAAACACGCACACACAAGCCGGCUCGUAAUAAUGGGAGAUCGCGAAUCGCGUAACGUUUUGAAUACAAACAAAUCCUACAGCCGAUAAUAAAUAUACGAAUCCCAUUAGUCAUUUUACUAAACUACGCGAAUAUAUGACACGCAUUACACGAACGGCACAAAAGUCUGACGCUAAUUUGGACACGUGUAUCGCCUAGCUCCACCGUCCUCCUCAGUAUAGUUAUAUAUUACUAUUAUGGAGUUAGAGUGUGUCGUUAUUACGUCUUAAUUUGGCGUAUAUUCUUAAAAUUUCGAUUGCGAAAUACCUAAACCUCUUUAAAAAAAAUUACGUACACGCACCUGAAAUUAUAGGUACAUGCAAACAUUGUAUAAGUGGUGUUUUGGAGGGUAUACGAAAUGCGUUAAAAAUCCCACGAACAUUAUCAGCGCUAGCUAAUAGAGAGGAGGAACCGUCGUUAGAAUUUUUUUUCGGCGAACAAAUUCAUGAACCGAAAAUGCUGAUUGUUUAUGGGCAAAAACUAACGCGGGGUAUCUAUAUAAGUGUCGAGUCAUAUUUAGAUGUAUAUUCGUUAAUCGUAUAUGAAAUCUUAUAUUAUAUGAACUGCUAGAUAUGUCUGUCUGUGUGGUUUUUCUCUUAAACACUCAUAACGUAAAUCGUGGCUUUAAGGUUGAAAUUUCAGUUUAAAUACAAACAAAAAAACUUUUAAGAGGAGAAUAUUUUCGAGGGCUAUACGUGGCAAAAUUGUCUAAAAAAGAAAAAAUUGUCUGCCAUAGUCGUUUUACCUUCUUAAAUAGUUAUAGUUUUAAUUCUUUAAAUUUUAUAAUUUGUGAUUAAACUCCGAUUUCAAUUUAAACGUCGCAAUAUACGUUCUGGGUUACGUAAUUUUUCUUAUCGUUCGUUAGUAAGGUUAGGUAUAUGACCAUAAGCGCCCGCAUGAAAUUUAUUAGAAAGGGGCGUUAUGAUAAAAUUAGACACCAAAAAGUACUUAAAAUAAAAUUAUAUUUUAAAUUU